rnacentral:rRNA from 1 species
GACGAACGCUGGCGGCGUGCUUAACACAUGCAGGUCGAACGGAAAGGCCCUGCUUUUGUGGGGUGCUCGAGUGGCGAACGGGUGAGUAACACGUGAGUAACCUGCCCUUGACUUUGGGAUAACUUCAGGAAACUGGGGCUAAUACCGGAUAGGAGCUCCUGCUGCAUGGUGGGGGUUGGAAAGUUUCGGCGGUUGGGGAUGGACUCGCGGCUUAUCAGCUUGUUGGUGGGGUAGUGGCUUACCAAGGCUUUGACGGGUAGCCGGCCUGAGAGGGUGACCGGCCACAUUGGGACUGAGAUACGGCCCAGACUCCUACGGGAGGCAGCGGUGGGGAAUAUUGCACAAUGGGCGGAAGCCUGAUGCAGCAACGCCGCGUGCGGGAUGACGGCCUUCGGGUUGUAAACCGCUUUCGCCUGUGACGAAGCGUGAGUGACGGUAAUGGGUAAAGAAGCACCGGCUAACUACGUG